rnacentral:miRNA from 10 species
UUGUCAAAGUGGUGGUGAUGUG